UGGGGUUGUCGCUCAGUGGUAGAGCACUUGUCUUGCAUGUAUGAGGCCCUGGGUUCAAACCUCAGCACCACAA
rnacentral:tRNA from 1 species